rnacentral:rRNA from 1 species
UUAAAACACUGGUUCUCAUACAAUCACUGAAGUUAAGCAACAUUGAGCCUGGUCAGUACCUAGAUAGGUGACUGCUUGGGAAUACCAGGUAC